rnacentral:rRNA from 1 species
UACGGAGGGGGCUAGCGUUGUUCGGAAUUACUGGGCGUAAAGCGCGCGUAGGCGGCUUUGUAAGUUAGAGGCGAAAGCCCGGAGCUCAACUCCGGAACUGCCUUUAAGACUGCAUCGCUAGAAUUGUGGAGAGGUGAGUGGAAUUCCGAGUGUAGAGGUGAAAUUCGUAGAUAUUCGGAAGAACACCAGUGGCGAAGGCGACUCACUGGACACAUAUUGACGCUGAGGUGCGAAAGCGUGGGGAGCAAACAGG